rnacentral:rRNA from 1 species
GAAUAUUGGACAAUGGGGGCAACCCUGAUCCAGCCAUGCCGCGUGUGUGAAGAAGGUCUUCGGAUUGUAAAGCACUUUAAGUUGGGAGGAAGGGUAGUAACUUAAUACGUUGCUAUUUUGACGUUACCGACAGCAUAAGCACCGGCUAACUUCGUGCCAGCAGCCGCGGUAAUACGAAGGGUGCAAGCGUUAAUCGGAAUUACUGGGCGUAAAGCGCGCGUAGGUGGUUCAGCAAGUUGGAUGUGAAAGCCCCGGGCUCAACCUGGGAACUGCAUCCAAAACUACUGGGCUAGAGUAUGGUAGAGGGUGGUGGAAUUUCCUGUGUAGCGGUGAAAUGCGUAGAUAUAGGAAGGAACACCAGUGGCGAGGGCGACCACCUGGACUAAUACUGACACUGAGGUGCGAAAGCGUGGGGAGCAAACAGG